GGCUCAGAUUGAACGCUGGCGGCAGGCCUAACACAUGCAAGUCGAGCGGCAGCACGGGUACUUGUACCUGGUGGCGAGCGGCGGACGGGUGAGUAAUGCCUAGGAAUCUGCCUGGUAGUGGGGGAUAACGCUCGGAAACGGACGCUAAUACCGCAUACGUCCUACGGGAGAAAGCAGGGGACCUUCGGGCCUUGCGCUAUCAGAUGAGCCUAGGUCGGAUUAGCUAGUUGGUGAGGUAAUGGCUCACCAAGGCGACGAUCCGUAACUGGUCUGAGAGGAUGAUCAGUCACACUGGAACUGAGACACGGUCCAGACUCCUACGGGAGGCAGCAGUGGGGAAUAUUGGACAAUGGGCGAAAGCCUGAUCCAGCCAUGCCGCGUGUGUGAAGAAGGUCUUCGGAUUGUAAAGCACUUUAAGUUGGGAGGAAGGGCAGUUACCUAAUACGUAUCUGUUUUGACGUUACCGACAGAAUAAGCACCGGCUAACUCUGUGCCAGCAGC
rnacentral:rRNA from 1 species